AGCGUGCAAUAGCUGUCCUGGUCAUAGCUAUCCUUUUCCACCAGGGCAAGCGAAUUGUGGAGAUGAGGCGGGAGAAGCUGAUGGGUUCCAGAACAAAGUCAGGAAAUGAUUACAGCCUCCUUCUAAGAAAAGUAGCGAUCUUCCAGGCCUGCUUUAGAUAGAUACUCAAGCCAGGACUUAAGCAAUGCUUAGGGAAGCCACAGGACAUCUGACGGUCACGUCUAGGGAUGGACAGAGUGAUCACAGGAGAAAACGGAGAGCAGUGUGCUCAUCAGUUAUAAAGUGGGAAUCAUUUACAUGAGACACAGGAAAGGACUUCCUGCCGGUGGGAAUACUGAGAUGUCAACGGAGUAGAAGGCAGGAGCAUAAAAUCGGCAUGGUAGAUGAAGUGCAUGUUACUUUCAUUUUCUUCGAGGCCAGUGACCCCGAGGCCAAGACACACUGCCUGGUUUCUGUGAGUCUCAUCUUGCUGUAAAUAAAGCCGGAAGUUCACUCCCACUUGAAGAUUCCCAGUGCUAGGAUGUCUCUAUUUCCAGAUCAUUCUCCACUUUCAUCCUGCUCGCUGGCCGUGGGGCUGACUUGAGGACUGUACAAGGGUUCCUGCCCCAGAGCCUGAAGCAUUCCUAUGUUCCCAGGACCUGAAGGGACUGGUGGGGUCGCUAGCCAGCCCAAGAUGGACAUGCAGAGCCCGAUGCCGAUGCCAUUUGCUGUGACUACAGUCUCCCCUGGGUUCAGGAACAGCCAUAAUCACAGGGGUAUUCACGAGAAUAAAGAGCUGCUAUACGAGGCUUGAGACAAGCAGGGUCUAGGCAUUGGGGAGAAGAACAGCAGCUCCAGCCAAGAGGUUAGGGUGGCUGGGCUGGGAGGGUAGCAGUGGGGGUGGUAGGAAAAGGCUGAUUUACAUUUGCUUUUAAGAUGGAGUCGACAGGGGACCCCACUGCUCUAUGGAAUGGACAGAAUGGCUAUGGUAAGGCUGAGAAGUCAAUCCCUGCCUUGUAGCCACAAGCUCCUUACCCAAGGAAAACACAAACCACAUCCAUAUAUAUAGCUCAGUGCUCACUUCCCCAACCCAUCAAUAUCCGCCUUGCAUAAGAGACAAACACAGUUUCAUGAAUAAUCAUGACGCUCCAGCCUCCCCUGCAUCCUCUUCUGAUUCAAACCCUGUCUCCCUGAAGGGCUUUGGGGAAGAUAAUUUUUUCAA